rnacentral:lncRNA from 1 species
AUUUUUAUACGACCGCAAAAAUUUUAAUUUUUCGUCGUAUAUUGCUAUCACGUUGGCGUCGUCGUCGUCUUGCGUCGUCCGAAUACUUUUAGUUUUCGCACUCUAACUUUAGUAAAAGUGAAUAGAAAUCUAUGAAAUUUUAACUCAAGGUUUAUGACCACAAAAGGAAGGUUGGGAUUGAUUUUGGGAGUUUUGGUCCCAACAUUUUAGGAAUAAGGGGCCAAAAAGGGCCCAAAUAAGCAUUUUCUUGGUUUUCGCACUAUAACUUUAGUUUAAGUAAAUUGAAAUCUAUGAAAUUUUAACACAAGGUUUAUGACCACAAAAGAAAGGUUGGGAUUGAUUUUGGGAGUUUUUGGUUUCAACAGUUUAGGAGUUAGGAGCCAAAAAAGGGCCCAAAUAAGCAUUAUUCUUGGUUUUCGUACAAUAACUUUAGUAUAAGUAAAUAGAAAUCAAUGAAAUUUAAACACAAGGUUUAUGAACACAAAAGGAAGGUUCUGAUUGAUUUUGGGAGUUUUGGUCCCAACAGUUUAGGAAUUAGGGGCCAAAAAGGGGCCCAAAUAAGCAUUAUUCUUGGUUUUCGCACCAUAACUUUAGUAUAAGUAAAUAGAAAUCUAUGAAAUUUAAACACAAGGUUUAUGACCAUAAAAGGAAGAUUGGGUUUGAUUUUGGGAGGUUUGGUCCCAACAGUUUAGGAAUAAGGGGCCCAAAGGGUCCAAAAUUGAACUUUGUUUGAUUUCAUCAAAAAUUGAAUAAUUGGGGUUCUUUGAUAUGCCGAAUCUAACUGUGUAUGUAGAUUCUUAAUUUUUGGUCCCGUUUUCAAAUUGGUCUACAUUAAGGUCCAAAGGGUCCAAAAUUAAACUUAGUUUGAUUUUAACAAAAAUUGAAUCCUUGGGGUUCUUUGAUAUGCUGAAUCUAAAAAUGUACUUAGAUUUUUGAUUAUUGGCCCAGUUUUCAAGUUGGUCCAAAUCGGGGCCAAAAUUAAACUUUGUUUGAUUUCAUCAAAAAUUGAAUAAUUGGGGUUCUUUGAUAUGCCAAAUCUAACUGUGUAUGUAGAUUCUUAAUUUUUCGUCCCGUUUUCAAAUUGGUCUACAUUAAAGUCCAAAGGGUCCAAAAUUAAACUAAGUUUGAUUUUAACAAAAAUUGAAUUCUUGGGCUUUUUUGAUAUGCUGAAUCUAAACAUAUACUUAGAUUUUUGAUUAUGGGCCCAGUUUUCAAGUUGGUUCAAAUCAGGAUCCAAAAUUAUUAUAUUAAGUAUUCAGCAAUAGCAAG